AAAUGCUUCUAGCUAACCCUGGGUAUUUAAAUCACUCAUCUAACCUAACUUUUCACUCUCUUCCCAAUCCAUCAGCGCCAUAUCUUCACUCCAUCACCAUAUCUGACUCUCGCUUCACCUUCUUCCUCUCUUCGAUUCUUCGCCUUCAGCACCGUCACCAACUCACCAUCACCAUCUUCACUCCAUCACCAUCGUCACCAGUUCAAGUGGACAGUCGACAGUCGCCUUCAUCUCCAUACCAGUUGACAUACGUCUCGUCUUCAUAAUGGACUUCUGUGUAUAAGAGGUUGUGGUCCUAAGAGUUUCUCUACAUUGCCAAGGUUGUGCUGGUAAAGUGAGGAGACAUUUAUCAAGGAUGCAAGGUAAAUCAUUGUAAAACUUGAGCAAAUACCUAUGUGUAAAUCAAAAUAAUUCUAACAAUAUUUAUAUUAUUCUCCAGUUUCUUUAAUAACUACGCUUUCUCUAAAAAUCUCUUAAGAGAGAAAUGUAGUUUUUAGGAAAACAGAGGCAAUACAUGACACGAUAUUAUAUUAAAAAUUUAGUAUAACAAACAAGAUCUAAAUAAAACAUCCUGUGAAUGAAUAACUCAAAUUGUUGUUGUUGAGUUAAGAACAAAAUCACAUAUUGAUGAUGAUGUACUCGAACACUUGGUGGGGCAAGUUAUGACUUGCAUUGAUGUGGGCAAUGAUAAGGUCAAGGACUCUCAUCCAUAAGACUAGGUUAAUGUGAAAAAUGUGAAGAAAUAGGGGUUGCUCAAUCGAGCAGAAAGUUAUCUGAUGCUUCGCUCUAUAGAGUGGAUAAGUUGCUUAGUUGGGCAAAGUUGUCAAAAAGUUUGGUUUUUAUGCUCUCAUGUGUGAAUCUUUUUGGGGAAUACUAGCUAGGUUGGCUUCUUAUAUUUUUUGGGCUUAUAUAAGGGGCUCAAUAAGAAGUAUAAUUGCAAACAAUAUUGUUUUAAUGUUUGAGAUGGAUUAAUAAUCCUUGGAAUUUUGGAGGGGGAAGAAAAUAAGUGAGGUAAGAAGGUUUACAUCCCAUUAUUUGAUGGUGAAAUGAUAAUUUCAGUGGGAAAACGUCAAAUUGAUGAAGGUAUUGAUGAAGCUCUAAAGAGACAAAGCUCACUAGUAUGGAUAAGGAAAAGUGAUUCUCCAUUACUCCUAAUAUUAAGUAUAACUACUUAAAAGGAGACUAAGCUUAGUUUGUUUUUGGAUAAAAUUCAAGCAGUUUAUUCUUCUAAGUCUUUGACAAAUAAACUUUAGGUGGAAAUUGUAUCAACAUGCAAAGGAAAAUAUAUAAGCAUUUAAAAAUUCCAAGCUCUGGACCGGAGGCACUUACAUUUGAAAAUAAGUUAAAAUAUAGUUUAAUGUAUGCUUUUUUUUUGAUAAUUUUACUUAUCUAUUUUAAAAAUUUCUGCAACACACAACUAUUUUGCGAACUGACCCAGUACAACUUACCGCCUACCUAUUUAUAGUCCAGCCCAAAAUAAAUUUAUUCAGCCCAACUUAAAUUGAUAUCACGAUAGUCUAACUCAAUGUUGGCUGUUGCAGCCCAAACCUGAGUCAAACACAUACAUCAAACCAAAACUGAAACCCAACGAGAAAGUAUAAAUUAAAACAUUUGUGAAACAGCUACACUUAUGACUUAUGAGAGAUUGUCUCUCAAAGAGACGAUCUCAAAAUAAAAGGCUCACAUUUUUAUUUUCUCUUUAAUUUGUAUUAAUUGGCUAAAUAGCCCAUAUAUCUAAUGUGUCUUUCGGAGAAACCGUCUCUCAUAACAAUUUGUGUUUUUGAAACAAUAGAGAAGUUUUUUAUUUUGUAUUAUAUUGUUCAUUUAGCUAGGCUCUUGAGAGAUCGUCUUUUUGGGAGACGUAUCUUAAGCCCAGCCCAUUAAAGAUUAAUGUCUAUUUAUCGUAUUCUUAAUGUCUACUUUCAAUAUCUUAAAUAUCUAAAUACAUCAUUCUUAAUGUCUACAUAUAAUAUUUUAUAAAAUAUAUAAUGGAUCGGCCCAAUCUUUCAAAAAGAUUGUUUCUCACAAGAAUUUUUUUUUUAUUUAUUUUUUAUUAUAAGGUAAGUAAAUAAACGUAAGUUGACGGAAGAGGACGGCCAAGUCAAAUUGAGACUUGAAUCCUUGCAUGAGAAUACUUUCUAUAACAACUAACAAGACCCGAUUCAUAGAAAUUUCAAGACCAUUACAAUCGCUUCCUUAAUGAUUUAGAUCACCUACGCAAAAAAGUUUCAUCCAUUUUUCACAAAACUAAGAUCAAACUCUAUUUUAUUAAUUGUGAAAAUUCAAAUACUAAAUAAUUAUUCCCAAAAAUUUUGAAACCCCAUAUUAAGCAAUUGUUUUUAUGUUUAUAGAAUUGGUGAAAUAGACCCGAACUAAAAAUGACUCAAUAAUUUUUUUCUGUCAAAAAAUUUUGACUGGUUGUUUCGACAAAUUUUUUGACCAAUAAAAUGCUUUCAAUAAUUUCCUUAACUAUCAUAAUGAUUCCCUAAGAAAGAUUUGCCCUACUUAAAUGAUUCAUUUAAUAAUAAGUCAUUAAUUAAUUAAUU